GAUUUAGUCGUAGGACGCGACUAAGUAAAAUAAAAGAAAAGUCCACUGAGA
rnacentral:sRNA from 12 species